rnacentral:rRNA from 1 species
GGGCCUACGGGAGGCAGCAGUGAGGAAUAUUGGUCAAUGGGCGGAAGCCUGAACUAGCCAAGUCGCGUGAGGGAAUAAGGCCCUACGGGUCGUAAACCUCUUUUGCCGGGGAGCAAGGGCCGGGACGAGUCCCGGUCCGGAGAGUACCCGGAGAAAAAGCAUCGGCUAACUCCGUGCCAGCAGCCGCGGUAAUACGGAGGAUGCGAGCGUUAUCCGGAUUUAUUGGGUUUAAAGGGUGCGCAGGCGGCGUGUCAAGUCAGCGGUAAAAUGUCGGGGCUCAACCCCGGCCGGCCGUUGAAACUGGG